rnacentral:rRNA from 1 species
GUUGUCCGGAUUCAUUGGGCGUAAAGUAGCUCGUAGGCGGCCUGCCGCGAUCUGCCGUGAAAGCCCACGGCUCAACCGUGGGUCUGCGGCGGAUACGGGCGGGCUUGAGGCUGGUAGGGGCAAGCGGAAUUCCUGGUGUAGCGGUGAAAUGCGCAGAUAUCAGGAGGAACACCGGUGCCGAAGGCGGCUUGCUGGGCCAGUCCUGACGCUGAGGAGCGAAAGCGUGGGGGAGCGAACAGGAUUAGAUACCCUGGUAGUCCACGCCGUAAACGUUGGGCGCUGGGUGUGGGGGCUUUCCACGGUUCCCGUGCCGUAGCUAACGCGUUAAGCGCCCCGCCUGGGGAGUACGGCCGCA